AUUGAACGCUGGCGGCAGGCUUAACACAUGCAAGUCGAGCGGGGGAAGGUAGCUUGCUACCGGACCUAGCGGCGGACGGGUGAGUAAUGCUUAGGAAUCUGCCUAUUAGUGGGGGACAACAUCUCGAAAGGGAUGCUAAUACCGCAUACGUCCUACGGGAGAAAGCAGGGGAUCUUCGGACCUUGCGCUAAUAGAUGAGCCUAUGUCGGAUUAGCUAGUUGGUGGGGUAAAGGCCUACCAAGGCGACGAUCUGUAGCGGGUCUGAGAGGAUGAUCCGCCACACUGGGACUGAGACACGGCCCAGACUCCUACGGGAGGCAGCAGUGGGGAAUAUUGGACAAUGGGGGGAACCCUGAUCCAGCCAUGCCGCGUGUGUGAAGAAGGCCUUAUGGUUGCAAAGCACUUUAAGCGAGGAGGAGGCUACUUUAGUUAAUACCUAGAGAUAGUGGACGUUACUCGCAGAAUAAGCACCGGCUAACUCUGUGCCAGCAGCCGCCGUAA
rnacentral:rRNA from 1 species